CUCUGGUCCGGCGCCGCUUACCUAAAGCGGCUCCGGGAUGGCAGCGGUGCGCACUGAAGCCAGGGCAGGCUCCCUGCCUGCCGGUUCCAGCCCCAGCCCCAGCUCCAGCCCCAGUCCCGGCCCUGCACCGCUCCAGGAAGCUCUGCGGCCCCUAUGAGGGGGAGAGAGGUGGAGGGCUCUGCAUGCGCUGCCCUUGCUGUGCCUCCAGGUACCUCCCCUGAAGCUCCCAUUGGCUGCGGUUCCCCAUUCCCGGCCAACAGAAGCUGCGGGGGGGGCAGUGCCUGGAGGCAAGGGCAAUGCAUGGAGCCCUCUGCCUCCCCGCCUGAGGGCCGCUUCUGAGAGCAGUGCGGGGCCUGGGGCACCACGGGGGGCAAUCUCGCGGGCCGGAUCCAAAGCCUUGAGGGGCCGGAUCCGGCCCGCGGGCUGUACUUUGCCCACUCCUGCGAUAGAUGUAACGUGCUUGAAUUUCUCCAACAAAUUUACAACUAUCAAAGUGAUGUUGUCCAUUGACUUCAAUGGGCUUUGAAGCAAGUUCUGGGUGUAUUCAGAAUGUAAUUUGCUUAAGGCAGAGACUUGUGUGAUGUAAUUAUUAACAAGAAAAUACGGGCUUUGGUAAUACAAAUAAUGUCAUAUUCAUCUGUGAAUAGGCCAGAAUCCUUGGCAUAAUUUAGACCUAAACCUUCAACACACAUCACAUUACAGAGGCUGCUUCUGAAUUUCACAGAAGACUGACACUGAGUAACAGCAACAUUUCCUAGCUUCGGGUGACCACAUGUCCCGAUUUUAUAGUGACAGUCCCAAUUUUGGGGUCUUUUUCUUAUAUAGGCUCCUAUUACCCCCCACCCCCAUCCCGAUUUUUCACAUUUGCUGUCUGGUUACCCUAUCCUAGCUAAACUGACCACAAACUCUUGCUAAGAUGGAAAAUAACUUCCUCCUUUCUCUUUUUUUCUUCUAUAUUAUAUGCUUUAUGCCUAGAAGUUAAUGACACAGAUACAGUACAUCAAACUCUUACCUGAGAUGGCAGUUUAAUGUAUAAUGUAUAAUUGUGCGGGAGAAGAGAGAGACAAAAGUUGCCAGUGAAAUGUAAGAAACUAUAUAGAAAUUUGAAAGCUAUGCUGAGGAUUCUUGCCAUUUGAGAAGGUUUCAUUACCAAGGAGACUUGACUUCGCAGAAUACUGCAAACCUUAAGGACAAUGAUGUCUAAUUUAAAUACUAUUGUGAUAAAAAUAAUACAUACUUAUGUAUAGCUGCUAUUGAAUAAACAGAUAGCAACGGCUUGCCUUUAUAUUGGGGAUGGUGAUAGGCUCAGUUGAUAUGUUGAGAGGCCAAUGAAAAGUGAAAAUCGUUAAGGUGAAUCCAACUGAAAUGUAAUAAGUUCUAAGCAAUCACAAGACCGGCUCAACUGUUUGUAGCCAAUUGCAGAAAAGGCCACUGAACAUAUCAGGGGAACCUACAAACAAGGCCUAGUGUAAGAACCUGUAGGACUAGAACAUGGGACCACAAGGGUGCUGGACUGUUGAUGCUGCUGUAUCACUAGUGGAAGCUUCAGGUAGGUUUUCACUGGAGGAUCCUAAGAAGCUAGGCGCUAUAGGAAGUUACUGCCCUGCCAGGCCUGAGUGGCAGCCCCCCAUGACUCUCUGAUUGGCUGAACCAGGAAGCCAUCAUGGGGAGCUGUCUAAGCAAUGAUGCAGACUGCUCCAGAUUUUGCCUUGCUGUGGACCCUAGACUCCAUCUUCUGACCCUGCAACUUGUCCAGUGUAUAUAACCUGGUGCCUGACCCUGACUCCCUGGUAUCUGACCCAGUUCAACUCCAGCUCCACUAGUUGCCUGAUAUCUUUAACCUGUUACCUGAUCCUGACUUCCUGGUGUCCUGAUCUGGCUUGACCCCGCCUCUGCUGCUUGUCUCCUGACCACAACUUGGUAACUAUUGAUGCACCAUGCAGGCUGCCCAUGGUCCUGAAAUGUAGGGAAUAACCAGGUGCCAGCUGAGAGGAAUAUACAGCUUUCUUGUCUUACUACUCCAUUAAUCGUUACCCACAUUAUUGGUGGUUAAUGAUGCGAAUGAGUCAAAUGACUGUAUUGUUGCCUGGUGAGCUAUGAAACAAGGACACAAUUGUCAGGCAAUGUGAAAAGACUUCACAAAGUUUCACUCCUAACUUCUCAAAGGGCAUUUCUGCAGACAACUCAAAGCACUGACAGAGAAACCGCCACUUGAGGAAGGACACAGAGUUGUGUCAAGUUUGCCAAGAACCGCACCACAGGGAGGCCUACAAAAGAGCCCUCUGGAAGUUGGUUACUGAUCAGUUCCAAACCAACUGGUGUUCAUUGCAUGGACCAAGACAAUUUGCACAACCUAACGUGUCUUACAUAAACUGGGAUGGCACAAGAUGUGUUGCAGGAAGACCACAGAAUUUUCCAGAGACAAACUUGCAAAAACUCAAUAAACAUGCCUCUUUUUGUCCUUAUAUGAUGAGAAGGGACAACUCGUAUUCUAGUUGGACAUUUCUAAUCUUUGACAGAAGCCUGGGCCAUUUUCUGAUUGGCCUUUAUCAACUUUCCCCAGAAGACAAACCAAACCAUGACACCCUUCAGCAACUGUAUAAAACAGCCUGUUUUGAUCAAACCAUCACUCCCUGAAGCUGAAACAUCUGGAUCCAAGAGACAACAAAGGAGACCUUCACUGCCUGGCCAGUGACAGCUCCACAGACCUGUCUCUUCUUCUAGUGACAUUGAGUUCCCGGCCAAAGGUCAGCCAUGAAGAUCCUUUACCUUCUCUUUGCUGUUCUGUUGGUGCUCCAAGUUGCUCCUGGACUGGCAAAGCAUAGUUGGACCCCAUCGCAAUGUAGACGCUUUGGGGGUGACUGCCAUGCGGCCUGUCCCCGCUGUACUACACCAUUUGGAAGGUGUGUCACAGGGGGCUUCUGCUGCUUAGGAUGGUGUUGCUGACAGCUCUGCCCAUGGUUUCGGCAGGAUCUCUGGGAAUCUGGUAACAUCCUCUCACCUCUAGAAUGACUAGAUCCUGCUACAAUGGAAGCCUGAAGCACUGUACAUCUGGGCUGGACAGAGCCAUGUGUGCUGGAGAAAUCCAAACAGGAGAGCUUCUAUCACUGAUAAAAGAUUGCAACUCCCCUUUUAAUAAAAGCAAGUUGUUGUCACAUCACAGUGCUGAAA